UACGAAGGGGGCUAGCGUUGUCCGGAAUUACUGGGCGUAAAGGGCGCGCAGGCGGCCCUCCAAGUCAGGCGUGAAAGCCCCGGGCUCAACCUGGGAACCGCGCUUGAGACUGGCAUGCUCGAGUUCGGGAGAGGAUGGUGGAAUUCCCAGUGUAGAGGUGAAAUUCGUAGAUAUUGGGAAGAACACCGAUGGCGAAGGCAGCCAUCUGGACCGACACUGACGCUGAGGCGCGAAAGCGUGGGGAGCAAACAGG
rnacentral:rRNA from 1 species